AGUGAACGCUGGCGGUAGGCCUAACACAUGCAAGUCGAACGGCAGCACAGUAAGAGCUUGCUCUUACGGGUGGCGAGUGGCGGACGGGUGAGGAAUACAUCGGAAUCUACUUUUUCGUGGGGGAUAACGUAGGGAAACUUACGCUAAUACCGCAUACGACCUACGGGUGAAAGCAGGGGAUCUUCGCACCUUGCGCGAUUGAAUGAGCCGAUGUCGGAUUAGCUAGUUGGCGGGGUAAUGGCCCACGCAGGCGACGAUACGUAGCUGGUCUGAGAGGAUGAUAAGCCACACUGGAACUGAAACACGGUCCAGGGUACUACGGGAGGGAGCAGUGGGGAAUAUUAGACAAUGGGCGCAAGCCUGAUCCAGCCAUACCGCGUGGGUGGAGAAGGCCUUCGGGUUGUGAAGCCCUUUUGUUGGGAAAGAAAAGCAGCAGGUUAAUACCCCGCUGUUCUGACGGUACCCAAAGAAUAAGCACCGGCUAACUUCGUG
rnacentral:rRNA from 1 species